AGCAAUACCGCACUGAUACGGGUAUGGUCCGACGCCUAUUGAAGGUUAAUAUAGGAUCUCCAUACCCUAUUCCGAUUCAAUAGUCCACGGCAUACAGAACGGUAACAUAUUUCUUCAAUGAUCUGAGCUUGGGUACACGGAGAAACCCAAUACUUGGGAGGAUGGGUCAUAUGGCCAAAUUGAGCUGG
rnacentral:ribozyme from 1 species